GACGAACGCUGGCGGCGUGCUUAACACAUGCAAGUCGAACGGAAAGGCCCUGCUUUUGUGGGGUGCUCGAGUGGCGAACGGGUGAGUAACACGUGAGUAACCUGCCCUUGACUUUGGGAUAACUUCAGGAAACUGGGGCUAAUACCGGAUAGGAGCUCCUGCUGCAUGGUGGGGGUUGGAAAGUUUCGGCGGUUGGGGCUGGACUCGCGGCGUAUCAGCUUGUUGGUGGGGUAGUGGCUUACAAAGGUUUUGCAGGGUACCCGGCGUGAGAGGGUGAUAGGCCACAGUGGAAGUGAGACACGGUCCAGAGUACUACGGGAGGAAGCAGUCGGGAAGGUUCCGCACAGGGGGAAGGGGUGGCGGAGGAACGCGGCGUGAGUGAUGGAGGUCUGGGGAUCGUGAAACGCUGUUAUUAGGGAAGAACAAAUGUGGAAGUAAAUAUGCACGUAUUGACGGUACCUAAUCAGAAAGCAAGGGCUAAGUACGUG
rnacentral:rRNA from 1 species